GAGUUUGAUCGUGGCUCAGGGUUAACGCUGGCGGCGCGCCUAACACAUGCAAGUCGAGCGAGGGCUCUUCUCCCGCAAGGGAGGGGAGUUCCUAGCGGCGAACGGGGUGAGUAACACGUGGGCAAUCUGUCGUCUCGUGGGGGAUAACACCGGGAAACCGGUGCUAAUACCGCAUGUCAUCUCCGGUCGCAUGGCCGGUGAGAAAAGCAGCAAUGCGCGAGAUGGUGAGCCCGCGGCCUAUCAGCUUGUCGGUGGGGUAACGGCCUACCGAGGCUUUGACGGGUAGCUGGUCUGAGAGGACGACCAGCCACACGGGGACUGAGACACGGCCCCGACUCCUACGGGAGGCAGCAGCGAGGAAUCUUCCGCAAUGGGCGCAAGCCUGACGGAGCGACGCCGCGUGUGGGAUGAAGUCUUUCGGGAUGUAACCACUGUCGGAGGGGAAGAACACAGACGGUACCCUCCAAGAAACGCCCGGCUAACUACGUGCCAGCCGCCGCAGUAAC
rnacentral:rRNA from 1 species